GAUCAUGGCUCAGGAUGAACGCUAGCGGCAGGCUUAACACAUACAAGUCGAGGGGCAUCGGGAGUAGCAAUACUUGCCGGCGACCGGCGCAAGGGUGCGUAACGCGUGAGCAACAUGCCCGUAUCAGGGGGAUAAUCCAUGGAAACGUGGUCUAAUACCCCAUAGUAAUUAUGUAAGGCAUCUUAUAUAAUUUAAAGCUUUGGUGGAUACGGAUUGGCUCGCGUGACAUUAGCUAGAUGGUAAGGUAACGGCUUACCAUGGCUACGAUGUCUAGGGGUUCUGAGAGGAAGGUCCCCCACACUGGAACUGAGACACGGUCCAGACUCCUACGGGAGGCAGCAGUGAGGAAUAUUGGACAAUGGAUGGAAAUCUGAUCCAGCCAUGCCGCGUGCAGGAAGACGGCCCUAUGGGUUGUAAACUGCUUUUGUAUGGGAGCAAUAAGGGCUACGUGUAGUCCGAUGAGAGUACCAUACGAAUAAGCACCGGCUAACUCCGUGCCAGCAGCCGC
rnacentral:rRNA from 1 species